rnacentral:tRNA from 1 species
CGGAAUGUAGUUUAAGGGAAAAACAUAUGGCUUUACAGGCUGUAUACCCUGGUUCGACCCCAGGUGUUCCGA